ensembl:lncRNA
GAAAGGUGAAUACUCCUAUGCUCACACUUGAAAAGCAGACCUUGAGACGUGAGACAGUUUGCUCAAGAUCAAAGAGGUGAUGUAUAGGUGCAUUAAAGCUCAGGAAGCACCAGUCUGCAAGAGUCCAGGCAGGAUCCUCAAGCCACUGUUGAAAGGCAGAGAUGAGAGGGCAGUACGUUCUCAGCAGCAUACCUGGCAUAAGCAGACUCAGGCAGUGGAAGAAAGACAUUGUCCCCACUAGAAGACACUGUCCAGGGCUCCCUGGUUUCCAUAUCAACAGGCUGGCCUGUCCCAUCACCUGCUUCUGCCUCCCCUCCUGCUCCUACAGCCCACUGUGAAUGUAGGUAAUGAGCCCAGCGUGGCCCCUCAGGGAAGACCAUCCCCAGUCAGCUGUGGCUAUGACACAUCUCACCAUCCCUCAAGAACGUGUCACCAGUUGAUCUUCUACAACAUUUCUCUUCACCUGGCAUCAGGAUUCACCCAGGAGCGGCUGCUUCCUGGGUGUGACCUAUAGUUCUACUAGAAAGGAGCAGGAAGACCUGACCUCAGGGUUGCCCCCUGACCACUCACACCCAUGACCCCUGAGACAGACCCUCUGAGCCACUCUGAUC